rnacentral:rRNA from 1 species
GCUACCAUGGCGCAGCCUGACGCAGCCACGCCGCGUGCCGGAUGAAGGCCCUAUGGGUUGUAAACGGCUUUUACUAGGGAAGAACGAGAGGGUUUUGAUCUUCUGUGACGGUACCUAGUGAAUAAGCACCGGCUAACUCCGUGCCAGCAGCCGCGGUAAUACGGAGGGUGCAAGCGUUGUCCGGAAUCAUUGGGUGUAAAGGGUACGUAGGCGGGAGCCUAAGUCUGGGGUGAAAUCUUGCCGCUUAACGGUAAAAUGGCCUUGGAUACUGGGUUUCUUGAGUGCAGAAGAGGCAGGUGGAAUUCGUGGUGUAGCGGUGAAAUGCUUAGAUAUCACGAAGAACAUCAGUGGCGAAGGCGGCCUGCUGGUCUGCAACUGACGCUGAGGUACGAAAGCGUGGGGAGCGAACAGGAUUAGAUACCCUGGUAGUCCACGCCGUAAACGAUGCAUACUAGGUGUUGGCCUUAGGGCCAGUGCUGCAGUUAACGCAUUAAGUAUGCCACCUGGGGAGUACGUCGGCAACGAUG